AUGAGUUAUUUGUCAUUUGUAUAUUAUUUUUAUUGUUUUUCAUGAAGGACUAGGACCAGCUCCGGACACAACUUUGGGUCAUAACUGAUAGGAGUAUAAGUCUUUUGAAGAUAAUAUCACGAAGACCUCUCACUGAAAAUGAACAUUAACGAAACCUGAGAAAAAUGAAAUUAGUUUUAAGUACAUCGACGUGUAUCAAAGACAUAUUUCAUAUACAGAACCCCACAUCUCUUGGCCAGUAGGAAUGCUUGCCAAAUUCAAACGUGUAUAUAUUUCCUGGUCAUAAACAACAAUGGCAAUACAAAAUGCGUAGAUUCUUUAAAGACGAAGUUGCCAAAGUCCAUGAGGGAUUUACUUCUAAAACAAACUUCCGUUUUAACAAUGAUUUAUUUUUAUCCUUAUAAAAAAGUUUUAAUUUG
rnacentral:sRNA from 1 species